rnacentral:rRNA from 1 species
UAGGGAAUCUUCGGCAAUGGACGAAAGUCUGACCGAGCAACGCCGCGUGAGUGAAGAAGGUCUUCGGAUCGUAAAACUCUGUUGUUAGAGAAGAACAAGUACGUUAGUAACUGAACGUCCCCUGACGGUAUCUAACCAGAAAGCAACGGCUAACUACGUGCCAGCAGCCGCGGUAAUACGUAGGUGGCAAGCGUUAUCCGGAAUUAUUGGGCGUAAAGCGAGCGCAGGCGGUUUCUUAAGUCUGAUGUGAAAGCCCCGGGCUCAACCGGGGAGGGGCAUUGGAAACUGGGAGACUUGAGUGCAGCAGAGGAGAGUGGAAUUCCACGUGUAGCGGUGAAAUGCGUAGAUAUAUGGAGGAACACCAGUGGCGAAGGCGGCUCUCUGGUCUGUAACUGACGCUGAGGCUCGAAAGCGUGGGGAGCAAACAGG